rnacentral:lncRNA from 1 species
UCAAUUAUGUUCUAAAAUGCUCCAAAUAAACGGGUGCAUAAACUGGCGAUGAGUAGAAUAUUAAAAAGUUUUCCUUCACGCAUUCCAAAACGAACCACCAUGCUCCCUUUCUUCUUCCGUUGUGCUGCAGCCUUCAUGUUUUCUUACCUUGAAGUUGUGACCAUUGCUUCCCUCUACUUGCUUUUGAGACAACAUUGUCACUGUUAUCCUGUUAUCCACAAAGUAGUGUCUAAAUGCUGGAGAAUCUGAAAUACAUAAAAGGACCAUAAAGGAGACAAAACCAUAUCAAAACACAACAUCAGAAAAUGAAAGCCAAGGAAGACCCCAUAUCUAGAUUACUAAAAAUCACUUUUGAAAUGUGUUAUAUAAACAGACCCAACGAAAAAAAUGGAGGGAGGAUACUUGAUUCCCUAAUUUCAUUCAUGAUCCUAAGU